GAUGAACGCUGGCGGCGUGCCUAAUACAUGCAAGUCGAGCGAACAGACGAGGAGCUUGCUCCUCUGACGUUAGCGGCGGACGGGUGAGUAACACGUGGAUAACCUACCUAUAAGACUGGGAUAACUUCGGGAAACCGGAGCUAAUACCGGAUAAUAUAUUGAACCGCAUGGUUCAAUAGUGAAAGACGGUUUUGCUGUCACUUAUAGAUGGAUCCGCGCCGCAUUAGCUAGUUGGUAAGGUAACGGCUUACCAAGGCGACGAUGCGUAGCCGACCUGAGAGGGGGAUCCGCCCCACUGGAACUGAGACACGGUCCCGACUCCGACGGGAGGCAGCAGUUGGGAAUCUUCCGCAAAGGGCGAAAGCCUGACGGAGCAACGCCCCGGUGGUGAUGAAAGUCUUCGGAUCGUAAAACUCUUUUAAUAGGGAAAAACAAAUGUGGAAGUAACUAUGCACGUCUUGACGGUACCUAAUCAGAAAGCCACGGCUAACUACGUG
rnacentral:rRNA from 1 species